UAUAGAUUUAUACUGUAUUUUUAAGUUUUGUUCGAUGUAUUUAAGAUCAUAUGCUGUUUGUUAUUUCUUUGUCCCAAUUUCUUUCAGGGACAUGAAUACAUGGAUUAUUGUAUUUUGUUUCAAAAUUUAUAUUAAAUUGAAUUUCAAAUAUUUUGGUUUC